UCUAGUUUAGUCUUAGUUCAUUAUUAUUUAAUCUUUUAACCAAAUAGGUUAGUCUGUAGACUACAUCCUCUGUGUUCAAUAAGAUUAGAAAAUCAAAUAUGUAGAUAUAAAGUAGUAUAUAUGAAAGAUUAUGUAUAUUGGUAUAAAAUGUUCUCCAUGGAAGGGUUUGUCAAGUUGAGAUUAAAGCCUUCUUGAUAAGAUUAUGUAUUGGGAUUCAGGUCAUCAGAUGGUAGGAUAGAGUGAGGAAUGAUACCUUUGAAUAUAGAAUUUAGGCCAAAGGUCAUGCACUGGGAUCUAAGAGGUCAUCCAGUGCUGAAAGAGAAAUUGACAGUAUAAGGUUUGAAAGGUAUAACAGGAGGAAAACCUCAGCUACAUCAUGAAUCAAUUGUUAGGAGAGUGUGAAAAGUAAGAAGGAAGAAAGAGAAUAUGAAUGGAGUUACAACUAAGGAACAAAAGGGGUUGCAGGUACGGUCCAAAGGCACCCUGCAAAGAACUUGAGUAAUGCCAACAGUGCACCACAUGAGGUGCACUGAUGGCACUACCCCCUACGGGGAUGAUACCAUUAAGGAAAUUGCGGAAAUUCCAAAUGUAGAUGAAAUGAUAAUGACAGAGACGUUUAGGACAUAUCCUAUGCACCCUUGGGAGAGAAUAGUGGAUAAAAGUGUCAACUGGCUUCUUUGGGCACCAAAAGAGUUGGAAUACAUGUAGUUAUUGUGAUGAGAAUUAUUAGAUUAGAAGCUGGAUAUAAUUGGAGGCAGUGCUGAUGGCCCAACCUAAAGUAGCAUAGGCUAAGCAAGGCAUGUAAUGGCAUGAGGCUCACUACCAUGAUGCACCUAGGCUUGUGUAUGCAUUGUUUUUAUCAAGGGAUGGAUGGCUUGGUUGCCAUUUUACUGCAUGAGUGGAUGAUGCCAAAACCAAACGUGAAUUAGCUUAGCCUAUUAUAAUAAGCUGGACCUACCCUAUGUUCUUUUGGGUAUGUGCUAAUUAUGUCUUGAUAGAUCCUAAGAGAAUACAAACCUGUAUGGGUAUUCCAUUCUCUAUGACCUGUACAUGAGAAUUGGGAGUUCAAGCACAGCAGAUCUCUGUUACAUGAUUGUUUUAGGUAAUGUGGGGGUCAUCAUGCACCUGAUUGUGCACCCACCCAAAGCAUGCCCAGUUCAUCUGGCUCUUCCUCUGGUGUGCAUGUGUACAGUAAUGCUCAUCGCUUCCCACUUAGAGCUUUCUAGUAGUUCACUCUUGGCUUAUCAUAAGGAAUCACCCAGCUGUGUUGAUUACUGUUAGCAUUAUUCUUGGUGUAUACCAGUCAGCACCUGUAGAUCAGAUUUUCUUGUCCACAAUUCCCAGACUGAUUGCCUGGGAAAUUUGGUGUUGACUAUGACUCUUCAAGAAUAGGAGCCUUCUCGUUCUGAGAGGGGUCUAUUGGGGCCUGUUGGUUCUCUUAUAGAACCCAUGAAUGCCGAGUUGGUGAGACACUUACGCAAGCUGAUUUCGAUCAUUCGUUAGUGCAAGAUCUCAGGAAAGUGACCAUAGAACCUGUGCCAAAUGUAAUCUAGCAAACUAGGGUUUGCCCCUUUUAAGUGAGACCAUCAUUUCAACUGCUGUGAUCUCUGCAACAUGUGUUACAUGAGGUCUAAGCUACAGAUCAGAAGGUUCCCUUGCUUCUGACAUACUAGCCAAAGUUGAAUGUGCCAGGGAACUCUGAGGAGGAGGAAGAGAAGAGACUGCUUGCUUUUGUUUGCAUUAUCCCAUUCAUGAUUCUUACCUUAGUUACAUGGUGAAAGGAGGUAGCAGUGUCAGAGUAGUAAGACCUGAGCAGGAUACAUUGCGGGGAUCCUCAUAAUCAAAACAAACACUGCAGGAGGUUAAGCAGCAUUGAGCUCCUUAGCAGGAUAAGUAGCGGUGUUGGGUUGAUAUGAAUACUAAGGACAACAGCAUCCCCUGCAAGUGCUCCAGCAAAGUUGCAUGUGAAUUAGGAACAGGAAGAGGCAAACAACAAGCACAUACACCUAAGUCUCACCUUGACUUGAACAUUUGGUUCAGCACUGUCAGAGUGUGUUGGAGACAUACUGUCACAUACAUACCCCCCCCCCCCCCUCUUCAAAUUGAGCCAUAGGAGAACAAGUAGAAGUGGCAGGGGGAGAGGGAGAGAGUCUAGGAGGAAGGAGCUGAAAAGAUUUGUUGGUGUCAAGAAGUGUAGCCCUGAAGACACUGGUGAAUGUGUUUGGCCUUCCAGUGUUUCUUGCCAAACUUUCAUUGCAGAAAAUUACACUUGCAGGAAAAUGCUAACACACAGAAGACGUAAAGAUACCCACUUACAUCCUUCAAAGUUCCUUUGUGCACUUUUUAAAAUUCACUGUGAACAUAAAUACACAAACACCAUACGAUAAAAAAAAUGAAAGAAGCCUCCACUUUGGUCGGUCAGAGCACAGUGAAUUGGCUUAACUCAACCAGAACUGAAGAAAAGGUCCUGGCUUACAGCAGUUAAGUGGGGGAAUGCCACCCACUCUAAGUGCCUACCAUCAAUUAACUAUCUGGGUACCAAGCAACAACUGUUUCCACAGAGGGAAACUCCUUUAUACAAGGUUUGGUUUUUCUACCUAUGGAGAUUUUAUAUUUUGUAGAUUAAAAAAAUUCAUAGGGACAUUUUUAGUAUACUGGUGUACAUGUCUGACAUUGUCCGUAUGUUGGAUUUUUUAUAUAUAUAUAUAAAUUCACUAACAGUAAUAAAAUUGCAAAUAUAAUUCUUAGAUAACAAUACAGUAUUCAAUGAAUAACAAUUUUUGCAGAUUGGGGAGCAGGAGAGGAAGAUCCAGAAAUAACAAAUGUGUGGGAGGAUAAUUGGGAUGAUGACAACAUUGAGGAUGACUUUUCGCAGCAACUGAGGGCAGAGCUGAAUGUCCAGACUGAACAGUAGCUGCUAGAUGUCCUUCUAAAAAUUAUGCCAUUUAGAUCCAAAGAUUUUUUACGUUUAAGUCAAUGUCAAGGAUUCUGUACAGUUUUGAUUAUUUUUCUACGUUUUUCCUAGUUUAACUGCUGGAUUUUUUUUUUCAAAUAAAACUACCUUUUA